UUUGGUCGCUCGCAGCAGCCGUACCGUAAUUCCCUGUGUAGUCGCGCAUUAUUUUUCGAGGGGCGGCUGGCUUGACCAGGGUUUUGCAAAAGACGGCUCACUUGACCGCAGUGACAUGAGUUCACUGUUAUUUUCUUGUACAUACCUCUGCCAGAGCAUCUCUGUGGUAAACAACCAAGGCUUUUUGGUUCUGGGCAGUUAGCCAAGAGCAGAAACAAAUUAGCAAAAACAUGACUCUCCACACUCCAGGCAUGUCUGUGAAACAGAAAAGACUCCCGCGCAGCAUUUCUGGAAACAAGUGGGACAUUCCGGGCAUUCGGAUACAGACUUUCAGUCCAUCCACACUGCAGGGGGAGGAUCUCUCAAUUCCCCUGUCCCUGUUUAUGUUUUUGUGAUUCAUGGGUGGAUCUCAAAGCUGUUAAGUUCCAUCCUCACAUCUGCGUAGUUCAAUUGCGUCUCCGUCCCUCCCACCAGAGAAACAUGGAUGUGAGGAAAUUACGAGAGGGGCUGCAUCUCAAGGCUCCAAACUUUCAUCCUCGCGGGGUUCACUCGCGCCGUUCCCUUGCGUCUUAGUCCUUCCCACAAAGAUGCAAUGAAAUGAAACGGGUGGAGAGAAGAAAUGAGGAGGUUUGUUUUAAGAGACAUGAGGCGUCCUUUCCUCUGGGGCGUCAUGUCAAGUUUCUUUUUGCGAUGACGGCGUCAGCUGAUCAGCUGUCGUGCAGCUUUAACAGCUGUUAGUGUCUUCACAUGUGUGCGUUGUAAUUCUGAUCAAAUCUAAAUUGUAACUGUUUGUGUUUUCCCUGUUUAACAAACACCUUCAAGAGAGGACAACGUAGUCUUUGUUUAUCCUGUGUUCUGCCAAGAAUACGGAUCACUUUAGAAAUUAGUCAUUGUAUAUUUUUGAUUGUAUAUUAUAUGCAUUAUUCAGUAUGUACGCCUAUCUGAUCGAGAACUCUAAGUCUUAUUUAUAUAACCCAGUUUUCUGAUGUCUCAGGAACACUGGAUAUUUACUGCUUAUUAGAUCUAAAGUGAGUGCUAUUGCUAACAUACUUCUCUCAGAGUUGAAUUCUCGUCUUGCAGAAGAAGAGAGGAGAAUCAACAGGAUAAUUAACAGAAUAAACGGAUCAAGAAUAUUUCUAAUCUAUCUACGCUAUAAGACUAAAUGACUCAUUAUUUCAGAUACUGACUGUUAAGAAAUCGACAUUUGUAUAUGAUCUGUUUCAAGCUACCCCUGGUGACUGUUUUAAGGUCCGUCUUUUCGCUGUUAAACACGUGUGCCUAUAUUUACAGUCUAUGAUUAUACUCCGGUGAUGUGAAGUCCUUGCCGCUGCAGCGUCCAAUCAGUGAGUGAUAUUCCACACGCGUGUAUCUACCAGUGAAAAUAGAAGGCUUGUGUAUCCUCCCUCAUCGAGCCUCCGAUUAACCUCCUCUAUCCAUUUUCCUCUGUUCUCCGAGCUGCAUUAAGAGCUUUUGAACGCCACUCAGCAUUGAGGGUCCAUUAAACCUACCGGUUCAGCCGAGGACCGAGGACAACCCAAUUUUUAAAAAGGCCUGACACAGUGUAGUCUGAGGCUUGUCCAUCGAUGAGGCCUGUUCCAUUAUUGUGAAUGAACCAGCAGGGAACGUUGUCUCCUUUCUUCACAUCCCUCCUGAAGUCUCUCUGCCAGCCUCUGUGGACCGAUACAGAAACGUCAGUUCUGUCACCUCAUACUCAACCCCAUGGUAGAACUGACCUGCAGGAUGGUCCAUUAUGACAGCAAACGACACAUUCAGAGGGGCUACAUACUUCUUAAAGAAAAGCAGUCUUGAGUCAGCACUAAAUAUCUGAGAAACAUGGUGGUUGUGUCAGUUUAUCAGCGAUGAGUGGGCUGUCGGUUCCGUCCUCCGUCUCUGGCUUGGUGACCACCAUGGAGCCUAAACCGUCCACCUGAAGCUGAAGUGCUGCAUCUGACCCUUCAUAAAUUCUGCGAGCCAGUCCUUUAUUUUUUUUGCUCAUCUCAUCGAGGAAGGAGUAAUCCACAUCAUUUCCAAAUCCAAGACAGAACAGAGUCAAGUUUCCUCCACCAACAUUGCGCACACUGUUUAUGAUGAAACCAAGAGUGGACGCUCCUUCAAAUGAAAGAAACACAAGAAGUUAAAUGUAAUAAUAUGAAUUAUAGAAUGAAGUAUGUACAAAUAUAGCCUACAGUGUUUAUGUACUCACCCCCAUCUGGCAUUCCAUCAGUCAAUAAAAUAAUCAUAUCGAUGCUCCUCUCUGGGA